rnacentral:rRNA from 1 species
UACGAAGGGGGCUAGCGUUGCUCGGAAUCACUGGGCGUAAAGCGCACGUAGGCGGACGUGUCAGUCAGGGGUGAAAUCCCGGAGCUCAACUUCGGAACUGCCUUUGAUACAGCACGUCUUGAGUCCGGAAGAGGUGGGUGGAAUUCCUAGUGUAGAGGUGAAAUUCGUAGAUAUUAGGAAGAACACCGGUGGCGGAGGCGGCCCACUGGUCCGGUACUGACGCUGAGGUGCGAAAGCGUGGGGAGCAAACAGG